ACCUACUAAUCAUAUGUAUCUUCUUAUAUAAGUUACUUUUGUGAUGUGUGUGUGACGCAGCGGAAAGUACGGAGGAUGCAUAUACAGUGAUAAAACAAAUUUUAUGGCGACUAACAACCAGGCUAACAACCAUGUGUUAAAAGAAAACCAAAUCCAAAAUAAACUAUACAACCUAGAAAUUGGGAACUAGCUAGCUAGCUACAAUCUUUGUGAACUAUGGAAGUGUUGGUCUUCAAUUUUGUGAUGUAUGACACGACCCACCCCGAAUUUCACCCUGAAAUCCGGAGUAAGUAGUACGAGGACCACCUCCAAUGAAAAUUUACCGUAAAGAUUGAUAAAACCUCCCUUGAAAAUGGACAACCCUAACUCAAAAAUUUCAAAUUUACACUCUUAUUACAGCACGUCCAAACAUCACUUAAAUAUCCAGCUAAAAACAGCAAAUUUUAUCCUUCAGAAAUUCUAAACAUAAAGUCAACCAACCAAGCACACCACCGAAAUAAUAUACAAUAAUCCCAAAGUAUUCAGAGCUACUAGACACUAGCGGAAGCAAGAAAACACUAGUAGGUUAAACAGGUAACCUACUGAUGAAAACUGGCAGAAAAGCGGGUGACUUCCUAUAAUCAAUGCAUAGUCUCAUGGUGCCAUCUUUCUUCUUAACAAACAACACCGGAGCACCCCAUGGAGACAUGCUAGGCCGAAUAAAACCCUUAUCUACCAACUCCUGCAAUUGAGCCUUCAACUCUUUCAAUUCCGCGGGAGCCAUUCAGUAAGGUGCCUGAGAGAUAUGAAUAGUUCCGGGAAGUAAUUCUAUUGAGAAGUCUAUCUCCUUUGCAGGAGGUAAACCAGGCAACUCUUCAGGAAAAACAUCUGGGAACUCCUUUACCACUGGAAUAUCUUCUAAUCCCACAACUCCCACACUUGAAUCCACCACAUGAGCUAAAUAUGCCUGACAACCUUUACUCAACAAUUUCCUUGUAGCAACAACGGAAAUUAUGCAACUAGAAAUAACAUCUCUUUCCCUUUGGAAAGCAACCUCAAAACCAUCUGGACUUUGAAGCACCACUACUUUCUGAUAACAAUCUACCAUAGCUCUAUAUGCUUCUAAAAAGUCCAUUCCCAAGAUCACAUCAAACUCCACUAUAUCUAAAGGAAUUAAAUCAGCUUCGAAAUUAACUUCUUCCACUAAAACUUCACAACCACUAAACACCCAAUUUAUCCUCAUCACCUCACCGGAGGGUAGAGACACAUGCCACUCGCAUGAAAGAGACGAGGAUGGCACAUUGGCAUGGAGGGCAAAUCUACUAGACAUGAAUGAAUGCGUGGCUCCGGGAUCAAUUAAAGUAAAUGCAAGCUGACCAAAAAUUAAUAACGAACCAAUGAUGACAUCUGGAGAAGUACGACCCUCCUGCUGGGUCAUAGCAUGCAGUCUAGCGCGAGUCAUGGGACGUCCACGCUGACCACCUCCUCGCUGAGAGCCACCUCUGACCGAAGCACUGCCCUGGGCACCACUACUAGAGCCCCUAGCUGAAGAUUGACCAACUAGCUGAGUAGGGGUGGGGGUGGUCCUCUGAGCCAACAAUGGGCAAUCUCUCCUGAAGUGGUCUUGACCACCACACUCAAAGCACCCAGAAAACUGCUGCUGCCCAUAAGAAAAAGUCUGGCUACCGGAUGACCCACCAUGGAAGCUACCACCAGAACCAUACUGCCCAGACUGCUGUCUACCCAAAUGACUCCGUGAAGAACUUCUGAAACGUCCCUUAGACUUGCUUCGAACACCAGAGCUAGAUCUACCACUACUGCCACUACCAGCAGAAAACCCAGAAGCAAAUGAUGAAGCAGCCUUCUUGGAUGGAUCCUGACUAGGGCCACCAUAAUCACGGGGCCGAGCACCAUAUGUCCCCCUGGACUCAAUGGCUAUGGCUGCCCCAACUGCAUCCGUAAAGGCCGGGUAAAUUACCCCCGUCAUCUUGUCUGCAUAUACCCCACCAAGUGCCCCAAUGAAGAUCUCAAUCCUGGUCUUCUCAUCAGGAAUCAAAUAUGACACAUGGUAGCUCAGGGAAGUAAAUCUUUCUUGGAACUCUAUGAUACCCUCAUCAUCCCUCUUCGACAUAUGCAGGAAAUCCGACUGAAUUCUGCUGCGGUGGGCAUGAUUGAAAUACUGCCCCAACAAGAGAGUCUUAAAUUGCUCCCAUGACAUAUUCAGAGAAUCCUCAACAUUCCUGCUGGCAAGCGACCACCAGUGAUGUGCAGAAUCAUCCAUAAAAGUCACUGCCAUCUUUACCUUUCUUUCUUCUGACAACUCAGUGAUCGCAAAAUCAUUUUCCAUCUCGUCCACCCAAUUGUGAGCAUCAAGCGGUCCCUUGGCACCCUUGAACUCUCUGACUCCAGCAUCAUAAAAUUCUCUCAUUUUCACCAUAUGAGGGCGUGGAGCUCGAUCCAUGACAUCCCUCAGCAUAUUUCCAAUAUCAUCAACCAGUCCCCUGACCUCAUUGCCCUCAUCGGCAUUGGUCGAAGUAGCUACACGGGGUUGCCGUGGGCGCCUAGGAGGCAUAGUACUUGAGGAAGAAGAUAUUUAGUAGUCCAUAAAUAAGAUUAACACAACUAUCACACAUACCCAAUAACACAUAGCAUCAAAAGCAUAAAAUGCCAAUAAAUCCGCCACGGUCGGAUCAUCACUCUAUAGACACUGCGUGCUAUUUAGGCAGACAUGAUAGUAACAAGGAAGCAGGAAAAGGAAACCUAAAGCUCUGAUACCAACUGACACGACCCAUCCCGAAUUUCACUCUGAAACCCGAAGUAAGUAGUGCGGGGACCACCUCCAAAGAAAAUUUACCGUAAAGAUUGAUAAAACCUCCCUUGAAAAUGGACAACCCUAACUCGAAAAUUUCAAAUUUACACUCUUAUUACAGCACGUCCAAACAUCACUUAAAUAUCCAGCUAAAAACAGCAAAUCUUAUCCUUCAGAAAUUCUAAACAUAAAGUCAACCGACCGAGCACACCACCGAAAUAAUAUACAAUAAUCCCUAGGUAUUCAGAGCUACUAGACACUAACGGAAGCAAGAAAACACUAGUAGGUUAAACAGGUAACCUACUGAUGAAAACUGGCGGAAAAGCGGGUGACUAUGCCUCGCCUCCUACUAGAUCCAACCCGAACUCUGCAGACUGGGCAUUUUAAAACAAAGAGCCCAGGGGAAGACAUUUGAAACCCUUAGAGUGAGUGGACAAAAAUAAAUUUUAAAAGAAAAUAAAUCUUUAUGCUUCCCAAAUUAACUUCUGAGGAAAAAUAAUUAACAGCAUGCAACAAGCUCAAAAGCUUUUAAAAAUUUACCGAAUUUACCGAAACGUGACUAGCCGCGCUAGUCACCAACACUUCAAAAAUAAGAGCCUCUCAGGCUAAAAUAAAAUAUGUAUGUAUUACACUCGUCAUAUCCCUUGUAUGAAUUUUCUUGAAACAACAAAGACAAAUAGAAAAUUCACACAAGGCUACGACGCUUGCGUAUAACGCUCACGUCGCACCAUAAUGACAUUUUUCCUCAUUAUGGUGGAAAAGACGGUGAAUAAAUAUAUAUAUACGUGCAUAUCCCUUAUAUAAAUUAUUAUAUUUAUAUACGGCUACGACGAUUGCUUCUAACGCUCACGUCGCACCAUAAUGGCAUUUUACCUCAGUAUGGUGGAAAAGCACGUAUAGCUAGCUAGCAUUCCCUCAUAUACAUAUUAUUCUCAUAAUCAUCCAAAUAUGGAUAUAUAUACAUACUCACCGAAAUUCUCAAUUUCGGUUAUUCUCUAACCACAUAAAUUAUUUCGCAUGCACAUUAUUUAAAAUAAAAGUCCACUCACAAAUUAGGCCUAAGCCUGAUGUCGAUCUGGGGCCUCGUCUGCUCGAACCUGCUCACGACCUGUUUCAAAAAUAAUAUUAAUUUCCCAGUCCGAAAUUCCAAUAUUUACGCAAAAUAGGCAAAAUUAACCGAGAGCCAUAAACACGCUCGUCAUUGCCUAACUUCGAAAUGGUCCACAUUUCAACCCUAGAACCAGCAGCCGUAACUACAUCUUUCCACAGUUUAAACAACUUUAAUCUAACGGCCGGAUUCUACAUUAAAUCACCGCCAAAAUACCAAACUUCGGAAAAUCACCAACCUAUCCAUAACUCAUCCAAAAAUUCCAUAAUUUACAUCAAUAUACUCUCCUUAAUAUUCCACAUUUAAAACCAUAAAAAUCUCUCAAACAGCGGCGGCGGCGGCCGGAGGCCGAUUCCGGCGACCUCCAAUGCCUAUGAAAUUUUUACAGAAUAAUCCUCUCAUCAAGCUCUACAACUCUCUUAACUAGCAAAAACACUAAUUCCAAGCCUAACUAGGGUAAUCGACUAAAAACAUCCUAAAAGCCCUAGAAAUUUCAACUCCACAUUUCUCCUUACCUAGCUCAAGAGAGGGUGAGCUCUUUGGAGGGGUUGCUGCACGGGAGGAGGGCUACAAAACGGGCUAAGGAUCGCCGGUUUUGGUGGCCGGAAAUGGGAGCUCCGACGAAGGAUAGUUCGGCGUCUCCGAUGGAAAACCUCCCGAUCGACGGCGUUACCGGCGGGGACGCUAGGCCGGGAAGAGAGAGAAGGUGGCGGGACUCCGAACUGGGCUGGAGCGGUAGCCGGUGGCUGGCCGGACGGCGGCAGGCGACGGCUGGAGGUUUGCCGGGGAGAGGCUCGGGAGAGAGGAAAAUCGGGAGGAAAGAGAGAAGGAAAAGAGAGAAAAAGAGAGAAAGGACUUGGGCCUUCACACCCGGUCCAAACCACAAUUAUACCAAACUCCACCAAAAUUUACACCCCAAAAAUAAUACCCUAAUAAAAUACCUUUUACUAGCUAAA
rnacentral:lncRNA from 1 species